rnacentral:rRNA from 1 species
UAGGGAAUCUUCCACAAUGGACGCAAGUCUGAUGGAGCAACGCCGCGUGAGUGAAGAAGGUUUUCGGACCGUAAAGCUCUGUUGUUGGUGAAGAAGGAUAGAGGUAGUAACUGGCCUUUAUUUGACGGUAAUCAACCAGAAAGUCACGGCUAACUACGUGCCAGCAGCCGCGGUAAUACGUAGGUGGCAAGCGUUGUCCGGAUUUAUUGGGCGUAAAGCGAGCGCAGGCGGAAAAAUAAGUCUGAUGUGAAAGCCCUCGGCUUAACCGAGGAAUUGCAUCGGAAACUGUUUUCUUGAGUGCAGAAGAGGAGAGUAGAACUCCAUGUGUAGCGGUGGAAUGCGUAGAUAUAUGGAAGAAUACCAGUGGCGAAGGCGGCUCUCUGGUCUGCAACUGACGCUGAGGCUCGAAAGCAUGGGUAGCGAACAGGAUUAGAUACCCUGGUAGUCCAUGCCGUAAACGAUGAGUGCUAAGUGUUGGGAGGCUUCCGCCUCUCAGUGCUGCAGCUAACGCAUUAAGCACUCCGCCUGGGGGAGUACGACCGCAAGGUUGAAAC